GCAUCGGUGGUUCAGUGGUAGAAUGCUCGCUUGCCACCCCGGCGGCCAGGGUUCGAUUCCCGGCCGAUGCA
rnacentral:tRNA from 1 species